rnacentral:rRNA from 1 species
GACGAACGCUGGCGGCGUGCCUAAUACAUGCAAGUAGAACGCACAGUUUAUACCGUAGCUUGCUACACCAUAAACUGUGAGUUGCGAACGGGUGAGUAACGCGUAGGUAACCUGCCUGGUAGCGGGGGAUAACUAUUGGAAACGAUAGCUAAUACCGCAUAAUAUUGAUUAUUGCAUGAUAAUUGAUUGAAAGAUGCUAUUGCAUCACUACCAGAUGGACCUGCGUUGUAUUAGCUAGUAGGUGAGGUAACGGCUCACCUAGGCGACGAUACAUAGCCCACCUGAGAGGGUGAUCGGCCACACUGGGACUGAGACACGGCCCAGACUCCUACGGGAGGCAGCAGUAGGGAAUCUUCGGCAAUGGACGAAAGUCUGACCGAGCAACGCCGCGUGAGUGAAGAAGGUUUUCGGAUCGUAAAGCUCUGUUGUAAGAGAAGAACGGGUGUGAGAGUGGAAAGUUCACACUGUGACGGUAUCUUACCAGAAAGGGACGGCUAACUACGUG